rnacentral:piRNA from 1 species
UGAGGAGUGUGAGCACAUGGCACAGGA